UUUUUUUUUUUUUUUUUUCACGAUCUACGUUUGCGUACGUUGUACGUGAGCAUCAUUUACGUCUAGGUUCCGUCCCCUUCGUUGUUUGUUUACAUUCUAAGGUCACAAGGGCACGCUAACUAUGUCAAGGCUGUUAUACGUAACACAAUGGCGGCCCCCAUGUUCGUCUGUUCAUCACGGCAGUGCGGCAAUAGUAUUUCAGGGCUUUGCUACGUGUGUUAUCAUAACACAAACAGUUAAGAGACAGCUUGUCGACAGCUUCAUUAGAAAUUUCUUACCCAGAAUCAAAGAUUUUACAUCCUAGGCCUGGAUGUGAACCUUGACCUGGACAAUCUUACAGAUAAUAAUAGAAGAGUCACCUGAAAUUGCACAGGCAAAUUCAUCAGAUUUAGAUCCUGUCCUGCCAUCUUCAGGAAGACGCAGUAGUGGAUAUCCUGGCCAACCUUUAUUGGACUUAGAGUCACCUUGGGACAAUCCCCCAUAACAAAUGUGCAUCUUAGGCUUGGCAAUCUCACUCAGUUUUGCAGGAAAGGAGGAUUGGCACCAAUGGAUUGGCAAAUAUUGACAAUUGACAGUUCAGUCACACUAAAUUAUAGUGGCAUGUUGCUUCAAGUUACCACACUUAUUCUAAGAUUGCUGAAUUAUCAUUACUGUCUAAGGAGACCCUAGAUCUCUCAACCAGAAGAAGAAACUUGGUGAUCAGUCAGUUAUAAGAUUAAAAUCUCUGGAACACUACCCAUCACUGUUGUAUUCAGUAUAUGGAAAAGAUGACCGUGAUAUUGGAACCUUGGAGAUUCAUAACUUGAUUUCACACCUGUGAAAAGUAACUGCUUUGUUCUUUUACUGUCCAAUUGAUAAUAUGAAAAUAAAGCACUCCUACUGUCAUUGUAUGUUGCUGACUCUGUUUUAAUUUUCUUUAUAGAAAAAGAAUAUAGAUAUCAAGAUAUCACAUGUAUUUACAAAACCUAUGAAUCA